UACGUAGGUGGCAAGCGUUGUCCGGAUUUAUUGGGUUUAAAGGGUGCGUAGGCGGCUUUGUAAGUCAGCGGUGAAAUACUCUAGCUUAACUAGAGGGGUGCCAUUGAUACUGCGGAGCUUGAGUACAGAUGAGGUAGGCGGAAUUGACGGUGUAGCGGUGAAAUGCAUAGAUAUCGUCAAGAACACCGAUAGCGAAGGCAGCUUACUGGGCUGUAACUGACGCUGAGGUGCGAAAGCGUGGGGAGCAAACAGG
rnacentral:rRNA from 1 species